UAGGGAAUCUUCCACAAUGGGCGCAAGCCUGAUGGAGCAACACCGCGUGUGAAGAAGGGUUUCGGCUCGUAAAGCUCUGUUGUUAAAGAAGAACACGUAUGAGAGUAACUGUUCAUACGUUGACGGUAUUUAACCAGAAAGUCACGGCUAACUACAUGCCAG
rnacentral:rRNA from 1 species